ensembl:antisense Gm16764 predicted gene, 16764
UUCUGCUUCUUCCACUUGGUCCUGCGGUUCUGGAACCAAAUUUUGACCUGCGUCUCCGUGAGGCUGAGCGACAGCGCCAGGUUCAGGCGUUCGCACACCGACAGAUAGCGCGUGGCUCGAAACUUGUUCUCUAGGGCCACCAGCUGCUCGGCAGCGAGACGCACCGGCGGGAGGGCAGCUCGCGUGAAUUUUUGCGGAUCCAAGAUGUCCAAGACAGAGAAGGAGAUCUUGUGGUGAGAGGGGGCCGCCUUGGCCCCGACGUCCUGCCAUGCCAACAUGCCCGCCUCCCGCGGGCCCGAGGCCAGCCGUACUGGGGUCGGGGCUGGAUGCGCUCAGCCGCUGUCUUCUGCAGUGGUUUGGCCACAGCUCUCCAGCCGCGAACUGGAAUU